rnacentral:rRNA from 1 species
CGGAGGGUGCAAGCGUUAUCCGGAUUCACUGGGUUUAAAGGGUGCGUAGGUGGGCAAGUAAGUCAGUGGUGAAAUCUCCGGGCUUAACCCGGAAACUGCCAUUGAUACUAUUUGUCUUGAAUACUGUGGAGGUCAGCGGAAUAUGUCAUGUAGCGGUGAAAUGCUUAGAUAUGACAUAGAACACCAAUUGCGAAGGCAGCUGGCUACACAAAUAUCGACACUGAGGCACGAAAGCGUGGGGGUCAAACAGGAUUAGAUACCCUGGUAGUCCACGCCCUAAACUAUGGAUACUCGACAUUUGCGAUAAACUGCAAGUGUCUGAGCGAAAGCAUUAAGUAUCCCACCUGGGAAGUACGAUCGCAAGAUUG